rnacentral:rRNA from 1 species
AUUGAACGCUGGCGGCAGGCCUAACACAUGCAAGUCGAACGAGUGGCGGACGGGUGAGUAAUGUCUGGGAAACUGCCUGAUGGAGGGGGAUAACUACUGGAAACGGUAGCUAAUACCGCAUACCAUCAGAUGUGCCCAGAGGGGAUUAGCUAGUUGGUGGGGUAACGGCUCACCAAGGCGACGAUCCCUAGCUGGGCUGAGAGGAUGACCAGCCACACUGGAACUGAGAAACAGUCCAGACUCCUACGGGAGGCAGCAGGGGGGAAGAUUGCACGACGGGCGCAAGUCAGAUGCAGCCAUGCCGCGUGGAUGUAGAAGGCCUUCGGGUUGUAAAGUACUUUCAGCGGGGAGGCGUUACACGCAGAAGAAGCACCGGCUAACUCCGUGCCAGCAGCCGCGGUAAUAC